GGGCAACUUAUUUCUCAGACGAGGAAUGCACGAUAAAUUUGUGGAGUUAUGAAGAAUUUAAAUCCACCCUCAUCGCAAAAUCCAACAAUGCUUCAGCAAGUAGAGCGCGACUGGUUUGUUGGCAUCGAAUUACAGCUCGUGUGAAUGGAGGCAAAAGCAGCAGAUAACACACCUGGUAACAGGUCAAAAUGAAAUAUAAGAACAUAAUCCAAAAUGCCAACAAGAUGAAAGUUGCAGUGAGGGGCACGGGAGGAGGAAGUGCACCGAAAUCUUUUACUGUGCCUGAAGAGUUGGCCAUAGCCAACAACAGAGGCAGGCCAAUGGAGUGGGUGCAGUGGAAAUGUCCAACCUCUAUGUGCGGGGUAGUUUAUAGCAGUGAGGUGGUAAUACAUGGCGUGGUUAACCUGGGGUUAAGCAAGAUCUAACUCUGAGACGACCAGGUUUGAGAUG